rnacentral:rRNA from 1 species
UACAGAGGUCUCAAGCGUUGUUCGGAUUCAUUGGGCGUAAAGGGUGCGUAGGUGGCGCUGUAAGUCGGGUGUGAAAUUUCGGAGCUUAACUCCGAAACUGCAUUCGAUACUGCGGUGCUUGAGGACUGGAGAGGAGACUGGAAUUCAUGGUGUAGCAGUGAAAUGCGUAGAGAUCAUGAGGAAGACCAGUGGCGAAGGCGGGUCUCUGGACAGUUCCUGACACUGAGGCUCGAAAGUGCGGGGAUCAAACAGG